UACAGAGGAGCCAAGCGUUGUCCGGAAUUAUUGGGCGUAAAGCGCGCGCAGGCGGUCCUUUAAGUCUGAUGUGAAAGCCCACGGCUCAACCGUGGAGGGUCAUUGGAAACUGGGGGACUUGAGUGCAGGAGAGAAGAGUGGAAUUCCACGUGUAGUGGUGAAAUGCGUAGAUAUCCGGAGGAAUACCAAAGGCGAAGGCAGUGUCCUGGCUGGCAUCUGACGCUGAGGCGCGAAAGCUAGGGGAGCGAACAGG
rnacentral:rRNA from 1 species